AAUGCAAGGAAGUUGACAUGUCAUCACUUCAUUUUUUUGCGCCUGCGCAUAAAUCUGAGAAGCGUGAGUUUGUCAUCUAUUGUUUAUCUAGACAUAGGAUAGGUUGUGUGAAAAUAUUACUGAUGUUUAACGUUAAAAAUGGACCAAAAGAUUAAUGCUAAACAACGUUUGACAUGUUUGAACGAACGUAAAUAGAUUAUUUACUAGGUUUUUUAGCUUUUCGGCGUGAUUUUACACCCCCCCCCCCCACCACGUUUUGUGGGAGCAUAAUGAACGCUAACUACUUGGUGUUAUUUGGACAUAAAUUAUGAACUUUGUCAAAAGAAACCACAUUUGUUCCGGACCUGGGAUGCCUUUCGGACCUGGGAUUCCUGGCAGUGCCUUCUGAUGGAGAUAAUCAAAGCUGCUCACAUCAGCACUCUGUUGGAGACAGUGGACAUCCUGUUGGAUCACAUUCAUCUGUGAAGUCCCGAUCGCCAGCUGACAUCACGUGGACAUAGAACAACCACCCCAUCCCGUGGCGAAUCGCAUCUCUGCAUGUGUGGCAGACAUAUCAGUGUGGAUGACGGAUCACCACCUCAAGCUGAACCUCGGCAAGACGGAGCUGCUCUUCCUCCCGGGGAAGGACUGCCCGUUCCAUGAUCUCGCCAUCACGGUUGACAACUCCCUUGUGUCCUCCUCCCAGAGUGCUAAGAGCCUCGGCGUGACCCUGGACAACACCCUGUCGUUCUCCACUAACAUCAAGGCGGU
rnacentral:lncRNA from 1 species